rnacentral:rRNA from 1 species
AACGAACGCUGGCGGCAUGCCUAACACAUGCAAGUCGAACGAGACCGUCGGGUCUAGGUGCGCACGUGUGCGUAACGCCGGGUAACCUGCCCGUAGGUUCGGAAUAACUCCCCGAGAGGGGUGCUAAGACCGGUGAAUGUCUUCGGGCCAAAGAGUUAUCGCCGUUGGCUGGGCCCGGGUUGGAUUAGCUGGUUGGUAGGGUAAAAGCCUACCAAGGGGACGAUGCAGAGCUGGUAGGAGAGGAUGCUCAGUCACAAUGGGAAUGAGACACGGCCCAGAAUCGUACGGGACGGAGCAGUGGAGUAUAUUGGACAAGGAGCGAAAGCCUGAUCCCGCCACGCCGCGGGAGUGAUGAAGGGCGUAGGGUUGUAAAGCUCCUUUACACGGGAUGAUAAUGACAGUAACGGGAGAAUAAGCACCGGCUAACUACGUG